CCCAGACAGCCAGGAUGUUGGCUUAGAAGCAGCCAUCAUUUAAAGAAAGCGUAAUAGCUCACUGGUCGAGUCGGCCUGCGCGGAAGAUGUAACGGGGCUAAACCAUGCACCGAAGCUGCGGCAGCGAACGUAUCACUUAAAGCGAUUCAGCGGGUUACGAUUGACGGAGCGAAGCGACGUCAAAGCGUAUACAAAGUCGAGUCGGUUUAAGGAUACGUUCGUUGGGUAGGGGAGCGUUCUGUAAGCCUGUGAAGGUGUGUCGUGAGGCAUGCUGGAGGUAUCAGAAGUGCGAAUGCUGACAUAAGUAACGAUAAAGCGGGUGAAAAGCCCGCUCGCCGGAAGACCAAGGGUUCCUGUCCAACGUUAAUCGGGGCAGGGUGAGUCGACCCCUAAGGCGAGGCCGAAAGGCGUAGUCGAUGGGAAACGGGUUAAUAUUCCCGUACUUGGUGUUACUGCGAAGGGGGGACGGAGAAGGCUAUGUUGGCCGGGCGACGGUUGUCCCGGUUUAAGCGUGUAGG
rnacentral:rRNA from 1 species